GGGGCGGCUAGGGUAGCUCCCGAAGAGCCGGUUUCCGCCCGGCCUGCCGCCCCUUCCAUCCUGCGG
rnacentral:sRNA from 1 species